rnacentral:rRNA from 1 species
UACGUAGGGGGCAAGCGUUGUCCGGAUUUAUUGGGCGUAAAGAGCGUGUAGGCGGCCAGGUAGGUCUGCUGUGAAAACUCGAGGCUUAACCUGGGAACUGCGUCUGAUACUGGAUGGCUUGAAUUCGGGAGAGGGAUGCAGAAUUCCAGGUGUAGCGGUGAAAUGCGUAGAUAUCUGGAGGAAUACCGGUGGCGAAGGCGGCAUCCUGGACCGACAUUGACGCUGAGGAGCGAAAGCUAGGGGAGCAAACAGG